rnacentral:misc_RNA from 1 species
GAGUAAAAGAGAAUGAAACUAAAUGAACAUAAAAUUAAACAUGAACAUUUAAUUCCUCCUAAGAAACAAUAUUUGUUCAAUGUAUAUGCACUUAAUUCCCACCAGCCAUGGACUGCAACUCUUCCAAAUCAUGCUCAAUGUACCACAUAAUAGAGUAAGAACGUUUCUUCUGUUCCCAACAUCUCCUCACUGUAGUCUUCUCUUCAACAUCUCCUCCCAGGAUUUUCCACUGGCAACAUCAGCUCACACUAACUCCGAGCCUUUCCAUUUCCAAGUGUGAGCUCUAGAUCAUCCAAUCCCACCUCAUGAAUCCUUUCUCCUUCCCAUGGCUUCACUUGUCCACUCCCAAACUCAAACUCCAUACACUUGCCAUUCUCUUUGAUCACAUUGCUCGACAAAAUUUGCUCAGCCACAGGUUUCACAAGAUUGUAGGUUGGAGAGGUUGGCAUUGCAGCCGCAGAAGGUGCAAAUUUUUGAAAGCUUAUCCAUUGACCAGACUCAACAGUGGAUGUAUCAGACUCAUCACAUUCAGGUAUGGUGGCUGGAGCAUGAAAUUGACGGUGAGUUGGGCUAACAGGGGCAGAUGCAGUAUAGAAAGGGUAAUUUAACGAGGCCAUGGAUUGUUCAGCAAUGAACUCCCAGUUGGGAAUUGGCUUGGGAUUUUUUGAGGUUGGAGAUGAGAGUGGUGGAGUUACAGGUGCACUGUUGGAGAUUCGGAGAGAAGGGAGAGACGAGGGAAUCGCAUUUUGGAGGAAGGGAAGGAGAUUAGAUGAAGCAUUAUUCUCAACUCGAGACGGGCUAGGGAACGAAGAGGAAGAGGGACUAACUUGGUAGGAAGGAAUUGGACUAGGGAAUGAUGAAGAUAAUGGACUUGGAUUUUGUGAAGAGUACGGAGGAAUUCUCGCAGAGGUGCCUACAAUAUCAAUUGGGGGUGGCUUGCAUCCCUUUCGGUAGGUGGUGCCAUCAUCUUCAACGACCCAACCAGCCUCGAUGCACAAAGCCUUCAAGACCUCAUUAUUAUCGUAGUGUUUGGGCAAAUUGUAAUUCCCUUGAGCUCUUAACCCUGAAAAAAUCUUAGCAGCUAUGGCUCUUCUCCUCCUCUCCCUCCUUCUAUUAUUCUCUCGCUCUCUCCACGAAGGUUUCCUCCUCGGAGCCGCUGACGUCGAAGUGGCCCCGUCUGACGUCA